GUGGGAGCGAACAGGAUUAGAUACCCUGGUAGUCCACGCGUAAACGAUGAGUGCUAAGUGUUGGAGGGUUCCGCCUUUCAGUGCUGCAGCUAACGCAUUAAGCACUCCGCUGGGGAGUACGACCGCAAGGUUGAAACUCAAAGGAAUUGACGGGGGCCCGCACAAGCGGUGGAGCAUGUGGUUUAAUUCGAAGCAACGCGAAGAACCUUACCAGGUCUUGACAUCCUUUGACCACUCUAGAGAUAGAGCUUUCCCUUCGGGGACAAAGUGACAGGUGGUGCAUGGUUGUCGUCAGCUCGUGUCGUGAGAUGUUGGGUUAAGUCCCGCAACGAGCGCAACCCUUAUUGUUAGUUGCCAUCAUUCAGUUGGGCACUCUAGCGAGACUGCCGGUGACAAACCGGAGGAAGGUGGGGAUGACGUCAAAUCAUCAUGCCCCUUAUGACCUGGGCUACACACGUGCUACAAUGGGAAGUACAACGAGUUGCUAGGCCGCGAGGUCAUGCAAAUCUCUUAAAGCUUCUCUCAGUUCGGAUUGCAGGCUGCAACUCGCCUGCAUGAAGCCGGAAUCGCUAGUAAUCGCGGAUCAGCACGCCGCGGUGAAUACGUUCCCGGGCCUUGUACACACCGCCCGUCACACCACGAAAGUUUGUAACACCCGAAGUCGGUGAGGUAACCUUUUGGAGCCAGCCGCCUAAGGUGGGAUAGAUGAUUGGGGUGAAGUCGUAACAAGGUAACCAAGGGCGAAUUCUG
rnacentral:rRNA from 1 species